rnacentral:rRNA from 1 species
CCUACGGGUGGCUGCAGUGAGGAAUAUUGGUCAAUGGGCGCGAGCCUGAACCAGCCAAGUCGCGUGAGGGAUGACGGCCCUACGGGUUGUAAACCUCUUUUGCCGGGGAGCAACGGGCGCCACGUGUGGCGCCACUGAGAGUACCCGGAGAAAAAGCAUCGGCUAACUCCGUGCCAGCAGCCGCGGUAAUACGGGGGAUGCGAGCGUUAUCCGGAUUUAUUGGGUUUAAGGGGUGCGUAGGCGGAUCGUUAAGUCAGGGGUAAAAUUGAGGGGCUAAACCCCUUCCCGCCAUUGAAACUGGCGCUCUUGAGUGGAAGAGAAGUAUGCGGAAUGCGUGGUGUAGCGGUGAAAUGCAUAGAUAUCACGCAGAACCCCGAUUGCGAAGGCAGCAUGCCGGCUUCCGACUGACGCUGAAGCACGAAAGCGUGGGGAUCGAACAGGAUUAGAUACCCUUGUAGUC